rnacentral:rRNA from 1 species
GACGAACCGUGCGAACGUUAUUCGGAAUCACUGGGCUUAAAGCGUGUGUAGGCGGAAGCGUAAGUACCUUGUGAAAUCCCACGGCUCAACCGUGGAACUGCUGGGUAUACUGCGUUUCUUGAGCCAUUUAGGGGCGAGUGGAACGGAUGGUGGAGCGGUGAAAUGCAUAGAUAUCGGGAGGAACACCCGUAGCGAAGGCGGCACUCUGGGCCGGUACUGACGCUGAGGAGCGAAAGCGUGGGGAGCAAACAGG